rnacentral:rRNA from 1 species
UAGGGAAUAUUGGGCAAUGGACGCAAGUCUGACCCAGCCAUCCCGCGUGCAGGAUGAAGGCCCUCUGGGUCGUAAACUGCUUUUAUCAGGGAAGAAAAAGUCCGAUUCUUCGGAAACUGACGGUACCUGAGGAAUAAGCACCGGCUAACUCCGUGCCAGCAGCCGCGGUAAUACGGAGGGUGCAAGCGUUAUCCGGAUUCACUGGGUUUAAAGGGUGCGUAGGCGGUAAAAUAAGUCAGUGGUGAAAGCCCGCGGCUCAACCGUGGAAUUGCCAUUGAAACUGCUUUACUUGAAUACAGUUGAAGUGGAUGGAAUACAUCAUGUAGCGGUGAAAUGCUUAGAUAUGAUGUAGAACACCAAUUGCGAAGGCAGUUCACUAAGCUGUCAUUGACGCUGAGGCACGAAAGCGUGGGGAGCGAACAG